AAGUCGUAACAAGGUCUCCGUUGGUGAACCAGCGGAGGGAUCAUUAUAGAGUUUUCUAAACUCCCAAACCCAUGUGAACUUACCAUUGUUGCCUCGGCAGAACCUACCCGGUACCUACCCUGGAACUAGCUACCCUGUAGCUACCCAGGAACGGACUACCCUGUAACGUCCUGCCGGUGGACUUCUAAACUCUUGUUAUUUAUAGUAAUCUGAGCGUCUUAUUUUAAUAAGUCAAAACUUUCAACAACGGAUCUCUUGGUUCUG
rnacentral:misc_RNA from 1 species